GAUUUUGCAGUAAGAUAAACGGAUUUCUACUCCGUGGGUUGCAGGUUCGAAUCCUGCUGGGAUCG
rnacentral:tRNA from 1 species